rnacentral:rRNA from 1 species
CGGAUAAAAGGUACUCCGGGGAUAACAGGCUUAUCGCCACCAAGAGUUCAUAUCGACGUGGCGGUUUGGCACCUCGAUGUCGGCUCAUCGCAUCCUGGGGCUGUAGCAGGUCCCAAGGGUUUGGCUGUUCGCCAAUUAAAGCGGUACGCGAGCUGGGUUCAAAACGUCGUGAGACAGUUUGGUCCCUAUCUGCUGCAGGCGUAGGAUACUUGAAAGGAGCUGCUUCUAGUACGAGAGGACCGAAGUGGACAAACCAAUGGUGUAUCGGUUGUUCUGCCAAGGGCAUUGCCGAGUAGCUAUGUUUGGAAAGGAUAAGCGUUGAAAGCAUCUAAACGCCAAGCCUCCCUUAAGAUAAGGUAUCCCAUGAGACCCCAUGAAGAUUACAUGGUAGAUAGGCUGGAGGUGUAAGCACAGCAAUGUGUUCAGCUGACCAGUACUAAUCGGUCGAUUGACUUAAUCUUUAUUUUGUUAUA